rnacentral:rRNA from 1 species
UACGUAGGGUGCAAGCGUUUGUCCGGAAUUAUUGGGCGUAAAGAGCUCGUAGGCGGUCUGUCGCGUCGGCUGUGAAAACCCGGGGCUCAACCCCGGGCCUGCAGUCGAUACGGGCAGACUAGAGUGCGGUAGGGGAGACUGGAAUUCCUGGUGUAGCGGUGAAAUGCGCAGAUAUCAGGAGGAACACCGGUGGCGAAGGCGGGUCUCUGGGCCGUAACUGACGCUGAGGAGCGAAAGCGUGGGGAGCGAACAGG